rnacentral:tRNA from 1 species
CGCCGCGAGGCUUCUCCCGUUU